AACAAUAUCCAUUACAAUCAAUUGGAAUCCGAAUCAAAGAAGAAUUGGGAAGGAAGAUAAAAAUAAAAAUAAAAGGUGAAAAUAAAACCGAACAUAGGGUUCCGCUUCUCUUCUCUUCUAUUAACAGAGAUUGCCGUUGAAGACUUAAAAAAAAAAAAAUUCAAUAAUGGCGAACUCAAUGGCAAGGUCGUUCCUUCAGGUUGCGGCAACGGAGGAGGUUGCUUCCCCUCUUCGAGUUGUUCAAAUCGAAGGCCUGGUGAUAUUAAAAAUAAUCAAACAUUGCAAGGAGUUUUCACCUGCACUGGUUACAGGCCAGCUUCUUGGAUUAGAUGUUGGCAGUGUUCUUGAAGUUACUAACUGUUUUCCUUUCCCGAUCCGCGAGGAAGACGAGGAGAUUGAAGCUGAUGGAGCUAAUUAUCAGCUUGAGAUGAUGAGAUGUCUAAGGGAGGUUAAUGUUGAUAACAACACUGUUGGAUGGUACCAAUCAACAAUUUUGGGUUCAUACCAAACGGUGGAGUUGAUUGAGACCUUUACGAAUUAUCAGGAGAAUAUUAGGAGGUGUGUGUGCAUUAUCUAUGACCCUUCAAGGUCAAAUCAAGGUGUCUUGGCUCUCAAGGCUUUGAAGCUAUCUGAUUCUUUUAUGGAACUUUACCGAGCUAAUAACUUCACUGGAGAGAAGUUGCGGGAGAAAAACUUAUCAUGGGUCGAUAUUUUUGAGGAAAUUCCUAUCAAAGUCUCAAAUUCUGCACUUAUCAGUGCCUUUAUGACUGAGCUGGAAUCUGAUACACCGGUCACACAGUGUGAUUAUGACCGUCUGCAAUUGUCAACUAAACCAUAUAUGGAGAGGAAUGUGGAAUUUUUGAUCGAAUGCAUGGAUGAUUUGUCAAUGGAACAACAGAAGUUUCAAUUUUACUAUAGGAGUCUGUCACGACAGCAAGCCCAGCAACAGGCAUGGCUUCAGAAAAGAAGGACAGAGAACAUGGCUCGAAAAGCUGCUGGGGAGGAGCCUCUGCCAGAGGAGGACCCCUCAAAUCCGAUCUUCAAGCCAAUCCCUGAACCAUCACGUUUGGAGAGCUUUCUCGUAACAAAUCAAAUUGCUAAUUACUGCAACCAAAUCAACGGGUAUGUUUGUGUAUUUUUGGCUGGUAUUGUCUUUUAGGAUAGCCUGACAUCUCUAAAGCUCCAAGGCUUAAAAAAAUGGAUUAGCAGUUGAACCGGUUUUUUGCAGGGUUGCCGGGCAAAACUUCAACAGAUUGUAUUUAAUGAAGUCCUUGCAGGAUAAUUGAUGGGGAAUCAAUCUUUUGAAGCAUUUUGCAAUUCGAGUAGAAUUUUUAAUUCAUGACUAGCUGUAAUAUUCCUUUUUAUGGAUGAACAAGAUAAUUACUUUUGGUUUUUUCUUAAAUCACUUUUUUUGUUAUCACUAUUUGUUUAGCUUUUACAUACUAAUGUAGGUGUUCAUGGCUAGGCUUGUUUCGUCUGUAUUAUUACAUUUCGGCCUAUAAUAUUAGAUUAAACAUUUUAACAUUUUGAUCAUAUAAUAGAGGAAUAAUCUAUUCAUUAAAUAA